UACGGGGGGGGUAAGCGUUGUUCGGAAUUACUGGGCGUAAAGGGCUCGUAGGCGGCCAACUAAGUCAGACGUGAAAUCCCUCAGCUUAACUGGGGAACUGCGUCUGAUACUGGAUGGCUUGAGUUCGGGAGAGGGAUGCGGAAUUCCUAGUGUAGCGGUGAAAUGCGUAGAGAUUAGGAAGAACACCAGUGGCGAAGGCGACUUACUGGACUGUAACUGACGCUGAGGCAUGAAAGCGUGGGGAGCAAACAGG
rnacentral:rRNA from 1 species